rnacentral:rRNA from 1 species
UACGUAGGUGGCAAGCGUUGUCCGGAUUUAUUGGGUUUAAAGGGUGCGUAGGCGGCUUUGUAAGUCAGUGGUGAAAUAUGGCAGCUCAACUGUCAGGGUGCCAUUGAUACUGCAGAGCUUGAGUACAGAUGAGGUAGGCGGAAUUGACGGUGUAGCGGUGAAAUGCUUAGAUAUCGUCAAGAACACCGAUAGCGAAGGCAGCUUACUGGGCUGUAACUGACGCUGAGGAGCGAAAGCAUGGGGAGCGAACAGG